GACGAACGCUGGCGGCGUGCCUAAUACAUGCAAGUUGAGCGCUGAAGGUUGGUACUUGUACCUACUGGAUGAGCAGCGAACGGGUGAGUAACGCGUGGGGAAUCUGCCUUUGAGCGGGGGACAACAUUUGGAAACGAAUGCUAAUACCGCAUAAAAACUUUAAACACAAGUUUUAAGUUUGAAAGAUGCAAUUGCAUCACUCAAAGAUGAUCCCGCGUUGUAUUAGCUAGUUGGUGAGGUAAAGGCUCACCAAGGCGAUGAUACAUAGCCGACCUGAGAGGGUGAUCGGCCACAUUGGGACUGAGACACGGCCCAAACUCCUACGGGAGGCAGCAGUAGGGAAUCUUCGGCAAUGGACGAAAGUCUGACCGAGCAACGCCGCGUGAGUGAAGAAGGUUUUCGGAUCGUAAAACUCUGUUGGUAGAGAAGAACGUGGGUGAGAGUGGAAAGCUCAUCAAGUGACGGUAACUACCCAGAAAGGGACGGCUAACUACGUG
rnacentral:rRNA from 1 species